GGACAAACAUCCUGUCUGGGCGUGACCAGGGCGGUGGGUACGGUGGAAUCAAGAUCAAAAUUUCAAACCCCAAGUUUGAUCUUGGAGGGAGGCACCACUGACCGUUUGGGGGACCUGGGGUAUGUGACCGAACCCUUCAUGUUUUAGUUGUAAAAUAAGGAUAUACAAGCAUACCUCGGAGAUACCGCAGGUGUGGGUCCAGACCAUGGCAGUAAAGUGAAUCUUGCAAUAAAGCAAAUAUUGCAACAAGGCUAUGAAAAUAAAAUUAAAUGGAUAUGAGGUGGCUGAAGAACAACCGAAAAGUACAACAUUGAAAUUCUGUUCAAGGAGAGAUUAGAAAUUGUAGAUAGAGGAAAGGAGAAGAGGUGAGAAAAUUACCGUACAAGAACAAGGUGGACCUUGCAGAAAAGCCUGAAGAGGAUUCAGACAGGGACAUCUAGGGGCAGGG